GACGAACGCUGGCGGCGUGCUUAACACAUGCAAGUGGAGCGACGAACCAGGGCUUGCCCUGGGGCAGAGCCGCGAACGGGUGAGUAACACGUGGGUAACCUGCCUCGAUGAUCGGGACAACCCGGGGAAACCCGGGCUAAUACCGAAUGUGCUCCGACCACAUCAGUGGACGGCGUAAAGGAAGCUUCGGCCUCCGCAUCGAGAUGGGCCCGCGGCCCAUUAGCUUGUUGGUGGGGUAAAGGCCCACCAAGGCUUCGAUGGGUAGCUGGUCUGAGAGGACGAUGAGCCACACUGGGACUGAGACACGGCCCAGACUCCUACGGGAGGCAGCAGUGGGGAAUCUCGCGCAAUGCGCGAAAGCGUGACGCAGCAACGCCGCGUGGGGGAAGACGGCCUUAGGGUUGUAAACCCCUUUCAGGAGGGACGAAGGUCGGCGCGUUAAUAGCGUGUCCGACUGACGGUACCUCCACAAGAAGCCCCGGCUAACUACGUGCCAGCCGCCGCCGUAA
rnacentral:rRNA from 1 species